UACAGAGGUCUCAAGCGUUGUUCGGAUUCAUUGGGCGUAAAGGGUGCGUAGGUGGCGCUGUAAGUCGGGUGUGAAAUUUCGGAGCUUAACUCCGAAACUGCAUUCGAUACUGCGGUGCUUGAGGACUGGAGCGGAGACUGGAAUUCAUGGUGUAGCAGUGAAAUGCGUAGAGAUCAUGAGGAAGACCAGUGGCGAAGGCGGGUCUCUGGACAGUUCCUGACACUGAGGCACGAAGGCCAGGGGAGCAAACGGG
rnacentral:rRNA from 1 species